GUGAAAUUGUUGAAAGGGAAACGUUUGAAGUUAGUGGAACUGGCACAAAUUCAGCCUCGCACCAAGGCAAUUAGCGCAUUUGCGAGCCUAGUGUGGGGUGCACUUUUGUAUCAGCUGGUUAACAUCAAUUUUGACUAUCAUAAAAAGGCUAAAGGGGAUGAGGUUCCUUCGGGAGUGUUGUAACCUUUAGCGGAAUGUGGUGGUCGGGAUUGAGGAUUGCAACGAAUACCUUUAGGGCUGUGCUAACUGCGUCUGGCCACUCCUCUUUGUCUAUCAUAUAUAUGAUGCGUUCAGCCAAUUAGGGGUGGUUAGUCAGGUGGUGCAAAUUCGUUAAGGAUGUUGACGUAAUGGCUUUAAACGAC
rnacentral:rRNA from 1 species